CGGAGAUCGGGGCCGGGCAGUGGACCACCCGUUGGCAAGGUGUGGACGUCUGGACGCGGACGGAGACAGGAGACUCCGGGGCAGCGACGCCGGACAGACGAGGAAAGGUUUCUUUUGGAUGGAGGUCUAAUAAAGGAGGCAAUGUAUGAAGUUGCUGCUAAUGCAAACCCAACAUCUCUGACUGCUGCAGCUUCACAACAAAAUCAGUUAACUGGCUAAGGAAAUGCAAUUAGUUUGCAGCAGAUCAUUUUGAAGUAUUGCAGGGGAAAAAAAUGGAACAAGACAAAGCAGCCCCAGUGUGUUGUCAGAUGAAGAACUGCAGCCUCAAGAUUCCCCUCAUCCCCUGUGUGUCGUAAACAUGGUUCCGGCGUAUGUUUGUUCCUACUUCAAUAACGGGAUUCACUAAUCGAGGACAUCAUUUUUAAAAUAAAUGUCUUGGAAACUAUUGCUGAUGGAGGUCCAAGAGUCUCACCGAACAACCUACAGAGUGAAGACCUCGAAGCUGAUUGGACGGCCUCCUAUUCAGCCCCAUGUGUGAACAAAUGCCUCUAAGUUGAUUUGUUUUCUAAAAUAAAUCUAGUUUGAGUCCUAAUCUAUGCCUGUGUGUUUGCUUCUUUACACCGCUGUUAACAGUUUAGGCUGUUAGAGUGUUCCAGAUAAGACAAGUACAAGAUUCUUCAGAGCCGUUCUACCACGAGCCUGACAGGAAGAACUCCAACAGCUACUGAAUGUUCCUGUGGUUCCCUCAAGGCUACAGGAGGAUCCCUACGAGGACGAGCCGGUCCACCUGAUGGUGGCCGGUCGCUGCGUUUCAAAGCCAACACAGACUACGUGGACUUCUACUGGACCACAUAGAGGCCUUCAAACCGGACCAACAAGUUCAGCGACUCCCCGACUCGUGGGUCUGAGGACGCCACCGAGCCUCGGUCCAGCCGGCCUCCUGUCUGUGGGUGUUUGAGUGCUGAGAGGAUUACCACAGACCUGACCGUGAACACCGUUGACACCCACCUGAGGGAGACGCUGCCUAAGAUCUCAAGGCUGCUUGGUCGUGGUCUUUCUGGUCCUGCUCCAGAACGCCUUCAUCAACUACGUCUUCUUUUGAAGAGGCCCUCAGAUGCUGCGAUCUCUGACCUUCAGGAGGAACUGCUACUUUCACUCGUCACAUCGUCACACUCCAAAGCAAAGCGCCUGUCUGCUGAACUUUUAAAAGUGGACAAUAAAUGUGAAGAAUGUGAGCAGCAGCAGCCUGUAAGCAGAUGUGAUCAGAAAGAAGUCAUUUUCUUUUUUCUUUUCUUUCUGGUUGACUUGAUGCUGUCAGAUGCAGAUGUUGGAGCUGAUUCUGAUCUUUCAGGAUAAAAAGCUGCUUUUCCUUUACAGACUUUUCAGGAAAUUAUUCUCUCAGGUUUUCUCUGCUAUUUAUAUUUUUAUUUUCAGUAAUUAUUUCAUUAUUGUAAAAUAAAGUUUGAGGCAUAAAGACUCA